rnacentral:tRNA from 1 species
UUUCAGUUGGUAGAGCAUGGGACUCUUAAUCCCAAGGUCAUGGGUUUGAGCCCCAU